rnacentral:lncRNA from 1 species
GGUGCUGAUGGCUGGGCGACUCCUGCUCAGCAGGCAGUGCUUUGGGCACGGCGCUGUGGGGCUCCUGCCAGGCCUCUGGGCCUCACCACAGCCAUGGCUUCAGCCAUGAGAGCAGACAUCUCGAGGAGUGUCACGGAGAAGCAGGUGCCCUGGCAGACCUGUCUCCAUAAAGCCUCACGUCCUGCAGACAGAUGCUCAGUGUUCUCGGGUACCCUGUGCCGAGCACAAGAUAAGAGAGACACUUGUACUCCAAGUAUGCGUGGUCUGGAAGUUGGGAAGUCCAGUGAGGCAAGGAGGGCAGUAACAGUCAGAAUAAAAUUGAUGUGUGGGAUCUAAAAAUUCCUGCUGGACACUUUGUCCUCCUGCUCGUCACAUUGCUCAAGAUGAACCCGAACCAGGUUGUGAUGAAAAUGGUGCCGAGUCCCUGUGAAUGGGAGAAGAGAUUCCUGACUGCUGCCAUUCAGCUGGAAAGAGAAUACCCAGGCUGCCCUCAGCCUCCAGCACGCACAGCUGCUGCUGCUAAAGUCUGUCACCAGCUUAGUCAAUCAUCCAUUAUUUAUUUCCAAAUCAUAUGUAAAGCUCUGCACCACAGCCUUUAGUCUACCUAUGGGGAAAAGAAGAGACAGAGCUUCUGAAAGACCUGGGAAAACAAAGGCAGAGAAACCUCUGAAAUUCUUUGCUUGGGAGAUUGUCAUAUGUAGUUACGUCUAAAGAAGAGA